CCCCCCCAGCCAUCUGAUUGGCCCCCCCAGCGGCCCCCCCAAAUGAUCGACAUGUCACGACACCCAGUCAUUCCUUCACAGUAGGUAGCACUAUGUACCACAAUGGGUUGUGACACUUGUGACUGUUGUGACUGCUCAAAAGCAGCAGGGGGCGAUAUGCACCAUUUACGUUUAUUGUGAUACACCAUUUGGACACAACAGAGUUGACCCAACAGAAGAAGAGAAGGAGAACCGCGAAGAGACGAUAGAGAAAUAUUGUACAGCUAAGAGGAAUACAGUCGAUUUGACUCCAAGACGGAUAAUCUGACUUCAAAGUUCCAUCAAAGGAGGAGUCUGAAAACACAGAAAGCUCUGCGCCUGACCAGGAUGAUGAUGAGCCAGAAGGGGCAAUUGCAGGAGAUACCACUGAUCUCUUCUCAGCAGUAUCCAGCACUCCUUUGCUUUUCCAAAAGGACCCAGUGAUAUUUCAAAGUCAAAAGAACAGGGCCCUGUUCAGCCAAGUUUGACAAACUUCCCCAGAACUCAGCAUGGAACAAGAAAGAGAACUUUUCACAGCUCCUGGUACAAAGACUAUUCUUGGUGAUGCCAGGCUAAGUCACAUUGGAACACUUAGCAUAGAGUCAAGGAGGGCACGGGGCCUCAACAUGGAUGACUUUGUAACAUAUUUUGCUUCAUCUCACAACAACCGAAGGAUUUUACUUUUAUGAGUGCAUGAAGAAGUCUUGUGUUUCUCGUCAUGAUUUGGGUCUUCACCGACUGGUACUUGUACCAAUGAUAGUUUAGGAGUCAGUACAUUUGGUCAUAGCUGCAUUAAGUUCGAAAAUAAAAUGCACAUGUAGCAUCUAUUAAAUAACAGUUUCCAUAACAUACAACCUUCUUUUUUGAGAUAUUGUAAUUGUGAACUGUGUGACACUGCAUUCUCAUUGUAAGUCUUGUCUUGUUACAAUGGUGUCAUUUAGAGGUUAAUGUCCACUUAUGCUUUGUGUGGCAUGCAUUGAUAAUAAACUGCAAAUUACAUGAGCAAAUCUCAUUUCAUGAGUCUUUAUUUAUAUAUAGUAUGUGAAUGAAAGUACUUUUACUGUAUUGUCAUUGUCAUAGUCAGUGGACCCCUUACAGAUAGCCCUGGCCCCCCAUUGGCCCCCCCAGAAAUAAAAGUC